UACGAAGGGAGCUAGCGUUGUUCGGAAUCACUGGGCGUAAAGCGCACGUAGGCGGAUUUGUCAGUCAGGGGUGAAAUCCCGGGGCUCAACCUCGGAACUGCCUUUGAUACAGCAAGUCUUGAGUUCGAGAGAGGUGGGUGGAAUUCCUAGUGUAGAGGUGAAAUUCGUAGAUAUUAGGAAGAACACCGGUGGCGAAGGCGGCCCACUGGCGCGAUACUGACGCUGAGGUGCGAAAGCGUGGGGAGCAAACAGG
rnacentral:rRNA from 1 species